rnacentral:rRNA from 1 species
UAUGUGAUCGUCUCUCGCAUAUCAAUAAGCGGAGGAAAAGAAACUAACAAGGAUUCCCCUAGUAACGGCGAGUGAAGCGGGAAGAGCUCAAAUUUGAAAUCUUAAAGGGUUUCCCUUUACGAAUUGUAGUUUAAAGAAGUGUUUUCUGUUGAGGUUUUGGUAAAAGUUCUUUGGAAUAGGACAUCAUAGAGGGUGAGAAUCCCGUAUUUGACCUUUACUUUCAACUUUGUGAUACACUUUCAAAGAGUCGGAUUGUUUGGGAAUGCAGUCCAAAAUGGGUGGUAAAUUUCAUCUAAAGCUAAAUAUUGGCGAGAGACCGAUAGCGAACAAGUACCGUGAGGGAAAGAUGAAAAGAACUUUGAAAAGAGAGUUAAACAGUACGUGAAAUUGUCAAAAGGGAAGCGUUUGACACCAGUGUUGUUUUUCUGAAAAUCAAUUAAAGAACUGUUUAUGCUAAGUUGUUUAGACUUUAUCAGCUAUCUGCUUAGUUUUGAGCUUUUCUUUAAUGCACCUUUCAGUUAACAAGUCAACAUCAAUUUCUUUUGCUGUAAAAAAGCUUGGGAAGGUGGCUUGAGAUUCGUCUUAAGUGUUUAUAGCCUCUUGCCUAUGCAGUCGGAGAGAUUGAGGUCUGCAGCGUAGAUCCUUCGGGGCUAAAUGCAUUUGUGCUAAGUUAUAAGCAUUUUAUAGACAACUUGUUGACUAUGAUUUGUCUUGUAGCUUACUCGCUUAUGUUAUUUUACCUACGCUUAGGAUGUUGAAGUCAUCGUAUCGCGC